rnacentral:lncRNA from 1 species
CAGCGUUAAAGCGCCAUUUAAAUGAGGAACGGUGAAUGCGGUCUCCGCUAACCCGCUAACGUUGCCUUUACAUUUCUAUUGCGCUGUAGCGCAGACUUCAGCACAACGGAUUGAAUCAAGUCCCUGCUAUCAGACGGUUGAAUGACAAUCAACGUCUGAGGGGCCUACUGUCUGCAGAACGGGAGUCUGAAAGCAGUACGAGUGUUGUCCGAGACUGAAAGAAUACGAGUGUUGUCCUGAGACUGAAGAAAUACGAGUGUUGUCCUGAGACUGAAGGGGAGUCCCAGCUGCAGCUGAUGUUAUUCUCAAGAUGAAUAAAGUGCAAUAUGAAAUUAGCUGAAGCCUCUUGUCUGUGUUUAACUGUUUUACAGGACUACUAUGGGAAUUUAGACUUUAAGGUAAUUUACUCGUGAGCCAACAUCCGUAGUGUUUGCGGUCUUGUGAACGUCAGGGAAAUUCCUUUUAAAAGGCACAUUUUCAGUGUGUUUUGACAACACACUUCAUUGAACCCAGAGGUUCACUCUUAUUACAAUAAAGUACAGCACACAGCAUCUGUACUGCUCUUUCCUUCUCCAACUCUUCUCACUCACUCAGUGGUUUUCGGGGACAUCUGUACUGCUCUUUCCUUCUCCAACUCUUUCCUUCACAUCAGUGGUUUUCUGGGACAUCUGUUGGUCUUCCCUGGUGGUUACGUAGGGGGUCUUUCCUGGUGGUUACGUAGGGGGUCCUUCCUGGUGGUUAGUGGGGUCUUCCCUGGUGGUUACGUAUGGGCCUGGUGGUUACGUAGGGGGUCUUCCCUGGUGGUUACGUAGGGGGUCUUCCCUGGUGGUUACGUAGGGGCCCUAUUUUACAUUUUUUCUAAAGUGUAAAGUGCUUCGUGAUUGGCCGGUUUGUACUCAACAACACAAUUAUCCUCUACAGUGGAAACCGUUCAACAGUCUUCGAGAUAUGUUUUUAUUUAACCUUUAUGUAACCUUUAUGUAACCUUUAUUUAACCUUUAUUUAACCUUUAUGUAACCUUUAUGUAACCUUUAUGUAACUAGGCAAGUCAGUUAAGAACAAAUUCUUAUUUACAAUGACGGUCUACUGCGGCCAACCCCGGAUGACGCUGGGCCAAUUGUGCGACUCCAAAUCACGGAUUCGAACCGGGGACUGUAGCGACGUCUCUUGCACUGAGAUGCAGUACCUGAGAUAGCUGCACACAAUUGAGUGUUUCUGAACACAGUCCAUGUCCACAGUCAACAUUCUGCAGAAAUCUAUUUCCACUCUGACGACUCAAGGUCUUUGAGAAUCUCCGCAGGCUGAAGGCAGUUAUACUGCAGUCACAAGGUAAUGCAGAGCCAGUGACCCGGUAAACCUACACUGUUAAUGGCCUGAGCCGUGGCAGGAACAGAGCCGUGUGUGUGCAGAGUCCUGGGAACAUAAAGAUAAGCACUGGUCAGUGGAAAUAAGGCCUGCCCAAGCAGUUGGUCAGCGAAAACACAAACACUAUUUAGUGCUUUAACCUGUGGUGGGAAAAGUACCCAAUUGUCAUAUUUGUCACGUCUAUGUUUUGUGUUUCUGUGUUUUUCUAUUUCUGUGUUCGGCCUAGUAUGGUUCUCAAUCAGAGGCAGGUGUCGUUAGUUGUCUCUGAUUGAGAAUCAUACUUAGGUAGCCUGGGUUUCACUGUUGUUUUGUGGGUGUUUGUCACCACACGGUACUGUUUCGGUUUGUUCACGUUUAUUGUUUU